GACAGAGGGUGCAAACGUUGUUCGGAAUUACUGGGCGUAAAGCGCGUGUAGGCGGCUAUGCAAGUCGGAUGUGAAAGCCCUCGGCUCAACUGGGGAAGUGCACCCGAAACUGCAAAGCUAGAGUCUCGGAGAGGAUCGUGGAAUUCUCGGUGUAGAGGUGAAAUUCGUAGAUAUCUGGAGGAACACCGGUGGCGAAGGCGGCAUCCUGGACCGAGAUUGACGCUGAUGCGCGAAAGCCAGGGGAGCAAACGGG
rnacentral:rRNA from 1 species